ACCUGGUUGGCUCAGUGGGUAGAGUGUACGACUCUUGAUCUUGGGGUUGCAAGUUCGAGCCCCACACUGGGUU
rnacentral:tRNA from 1 species